UCAUCUUGGCAUUCCUAAAGUAUUUCAGUGGACCUAAGAUGAUGAUCAGCCUCAAGAUUGCACAUUAGGAUUUUUGAAUGUUUUCUACCGGCCAAUCAGAAAUUACCUCCUCCAAUUCUCCAUUUGGCUGAAAUUUUUACCCACACAGUCAAUUUAAGCAAUUGUGCAAUAGAGUUUUGUCAAUUUCCAUCCAAUGUAUCAGGCUAAACCUGUUGAACUGGCAUUUGUGAAGGCUUUAGGCCUUUAGUGUUUUGGUUUUCAGAUGAGAACGGUCCUGGUGUGUGUAUGUAUGUAUGUAUGUAUGUAACUAAAUUGUAUAUAACUUUAUAUAAAUCACAUUGGUAAUUAAUUGACUCCCCUCACACUUGUUGUUUAAUGACUGCUGUUUGUCCUGUGUGACCUAAAAUUGGCCAAAACAAUUCUUUGGCGUGCCAGCAAAGGAGCACAAACACAUGCAGUAUUUCCGGACUCACUUUUUACACCACAGCAACAUGUUGUGUAUAAAACACUCUUGCUUUAUGUACUUAAAAGUGUCUGGAUACACAGACAUGCACACACUUGUGGUCUUGUUUUUUAUAAGUGUUUUUUUUUGGCAGGUUUGGCAGAAUUCAAUGCUUCACUUGGCCUGGUAACCUGCCAAGGAAGUGACUGGGAAGGAGACAAGAAGAGAAAGGAGAGAGAUAGAGCUGGGUUUCAGUCAUGGCAGCUUACAGAUCUCCUGUGGUUUAGUCCAGUGAGACAGAGAACACAUUAUGCCCUUCUUCCUGUGACACAUCUUUUAAAUUUAAAGAACCAGAAACAGCCAAAUUAAGGCUGACUAAGGCAAGGGUUUUUCACAGAUUGCACCAUAGCUGUGCUGUACAUGUCACAUCCUGAACAUUGAGCAUAACAAUAUGGAGGAUCUUUAGUAGCCAAGAUCUCUCCAAUGGUCUUCCACUUGAGUCUGUUUAUGCUUAUGGUUUGUGAAAACCCCUUAACGGACUGACCCAAUUGCAGAAAACAUUUCCAGAUGUGUGUGUAUGUUGUUGUCCAUCUCCUGAAGCGUUGGCAUGACACCCAAGGAACAUGUGAUCCAUCAAAAACCGUCCUAGCAACAUUCAGUAGCGCAGAAAUAAACGCAAUAAAAUCGCAAAGACAUCCAGGGAAUACAACAGCACAACAAAUCAUGUUACAGAUCAUAAGUGGGGGAUUUCUUUUCCACAUUGGUCCAACGAUUGUAGCUUUUUAUUUCUGAACAUAGAGUCUGGACUCAUUCGGAUAGCUACUCUGAAUCUGAUCAGCUCACGUGUCUCUUUACUUCCAUGUCUACUUAGUUUGCUCCUAACAAUGUCUCCCUAUCUAGUCUGGGAUAUGCAAAGACAUGUUCACGUGCAAACGGCAUAAUACAUUACAGGCUAGCUAGGUGACAAAAAGGAUGUGUCUACUGCUCUGUUUGGAGAAAACACAACACCAUGAAAGACAAUUUGUAAGAGUACCUCUAAUGGUUUUUCACAGCUAGUGGAGAUGAACAAGUUUCUCUCAGAGCUGGAUUCAAUAGAUUCUUGACAGUAAUGUUGACAUAUUUUUUUGUCAGACACCUAAAACCCCUUUAUUUGACAUUUAAUUGUAAAGUGCUCUCUGACAGGAAGUUCAUUUAUCAUGAAUGUAAAAAAAACAGACGUGUUCAAAUCCGCAGAGCAAUGACUAUGUAGAAAGGAUGUGUAUGAUCUCCUCAUGACAUCUUGUGGUUUGGAGUAAUGUCAUCACAUGAACACGGUACAGUCAUAGGAACAGGGGCAGUAUUCAGAGGAACAAGAGUACCUUUUUAGGUGGAUAAAGUUGACACUGGUUCAGUAGAGGCCGUGAGUGAGGUAGGCCAUGUUUGCAGUUAUCUGAAGUCUGAAAAAACAGUAUUUGAACGUCUGAUGUGCACACGUGGUGUAACCGCUACUAAACAAACAGCAGUUCACAUUUGUGCAAGUUGGAGCAAACAAGAUUGAAUUCCUGCCUCAGCUUUUACUGAAUAUAAAGUGACAUUAUCUA